rnacentral:tRNA from 1 species
AGGAUAAUAGUUUAAAAAAAACGUCUAAGUUGCAUUUAGAAAAUAUCAAUAAAAUUUAUCUUA